rnacentral:lncRNA from 1 species
ACAAAUUCAUAUCGGCCUCCUUUUUCUCUCAUUUUCUCGCUAACCAAACACCCAAAUCCUUCCAUCUUUCACAUCAAGACCAACUCCAAAUGGCUCGUACUAAGCAGACUGCCCGUAAGUCGACCGGAGGCAAAGCGCCACGUAAGCAGCUGGCCACGAAGGCUGCCCGUAAGUCGGCCCCGGCGACCGGAGGGGUGAAGAAACCUCACCGUUUCAGGCCAGGAACUGUGGCUCUGAGAGAGAUCAGAAAGUACCAGAAGAGCACUGAGCUCCUGAUCCGCAAGCUCCCAUUUCAAAGGCUUGUGAGGGAGAUCGCUCAGGAUUUCAAGACCGAUCUCCGGUUCCAGAGCAGCGCCGUGGCGGCGCUGCAGGAGGCGGCGGAAGCCUACUUGGUGGGUCUGUUCGAGGACACCAAUCUAUGCGCCAUUCAUGCCAAGAGAGUCACCAUUAUGCCCAAGGACAUCCAGCUCGCUCGUCGGAUCAGAGGCGAGAGGGCUUGAGGAGAUUCAGAGAGCAAUUUAGGAAUUAUCUAGUCUGUGAUGUUUAAACGGCAUGUAGUUAGUUGUAGAUGUUUGCUUUAUGCCUUGGUCUUUGUUUUGGUUGUGCUGGACAAGUCGUUGAACCAUUCAGUUGGGUUUGUGUAAUGCCGGGGCGUAAUAUGGAUUUGAAAUCUAAUGGCUAGUUGGAUUUGUGUUUA